rnacentral:rRNA from 1 species
AACGCUAGCUACAGGCUUAACACAUGCAAGUCGCGGGGCAGCAUUUCCUUAGCUUGCUAAGGAAGAUGGCGACCGGCGCACGGGUGAGUAACGCGUAUCCAACCUUCCCUUAUCCACGGGAUAGCCCGUCGAAAGGCGGAUUAAUACCGUAUGAGGUCAUUUGAUGGCAUCUGAUUAUGACGAAAGGUUUUGCGGACAUGGAUGGGGAUGCGUCCGAUUAGCUUGUUGGCGGGGUAACGGCCCACCAAGGCGACGAUCGGUAGGGGUUCUGAGAGGAAGGUCCCCCACAUUGGAACUGAGACACGGUUCAAACUCCUACGGGAGGCAGCAGUGAGGAAUAUUGGUCAAUGGACGCAAGUCUGAACCAGCCAAGUAGCGUGCAGGAUGACGGCCCUAUGGGUUGUAAACUGCUUUUAUGCGGGGAUAAAGUGUGGGACGUGUCCCAUAUUGUAGGUACCGCAUGAAUAAGGACCGGCUAAUUCCGUGCCAGCAGCCGCGGUAAUACGGAAGGUCCGGGCGUUAUCCGGAUUUAUUGGGUUUAAAGGGAGCGUAGGCCGUCGUUUAAGCGUGUUGUGAAAUGCCGCGGCUCAACCGUGGCACUGCAGCGCGAACUGGAUGACUUGAGUUCGCGGGAGGUAGGCGGAAUUCGUGGUGUAGCGGUGAAAUGCUUAGAUAUCACGAAGAACUCCGAUUG